rnacentral:misc_RNA from 1 species
UAAUAAGUGUUUUAUGGCACUUUUUAAAUCCAUAUCCACCUUGUGUGCAAUGUCAGUCGAUCUUCUUCAUGGAGAUCGACCAAACAUCAACCUUUAUCCUUUAACUACUUUGUCUGAAAAAUAUUAUGAAUAAACAAUUCAAAAUA